UUGAAGAGUUUGAUCAUGGCUCAGAUUGAACGCUGGCGGCAGGCCUAACACAUGCAAGUCGAACGGUAACAGGAUGUGCUUGCACAUCGCUGACGAGUGGCGGACGGGUGAGUAAUGCUUGGGAACUUGCCUUUGCGAGGGGGAUAACAGUUGGAAACGACUGCUAAUACCGCAUAAUGUCUUCGGACCAAACGGGGCUUCGGCUCCGGCGCAAAGAGAGGCCCAAGUGAGAUUAGCUAGUUGGUAAGGUAACGGCUUACCAAGGCGACGAUCUCUAGCUGUUCUGAGAGGAAGAUCAGCCACACUGGGACUGAGACACGGCCCAGACUCCUACGGGAGGCAGCAGUGGGGAAUAUUGGACAAUGGGGGCAACCCUGAUCCAGCAAUGCCGCGUGUGUGAAGAAGGCCUUCGGGUUGUAAAGCACUUUCAAUAGGGAGGAAAAGCUAUGCGUUAAUAGCGUAUAGCCGUGACGUUACCUAUAGAAGAAGCACCGGCUAACUCCGUGCCAGCAGCCGCGGUAAUACGGAGGGUGCGAGCGUUAAUCGGAAUUACUGGGCGUAAAGCGCACGCAGGCGGUUUGUUAAGCUAGAUGUGAAAGCCCCGGGCUCAACCUGGGAUGGUCAUUUAGAACUGGCAGACUAGAGUCUUGGAGAGGGGAGUGGAAUUCCAGGUGUAGCGGUGAAAUGCGUAGA
rnacentral:rRNA from 1 species